ACGUACACUCCUGCGGGAGGCAGCAGUGGGGAAUCUUGCGCAAUGGGCGAAAGCCUGACGCAGCCAUGCCGCGUGAAUGAUGAAGGUCUUAGGAUUGUAAAAUUCUUUCACCGGGGACGAUAAUGACGGUACCCGGAGAAGAAGCCCCGGCUAACUUCGUGCCAGCAGCCGCGGUAAUACGAAGGGGGCUAGCGUUGCUCGGAAUUACUGGGCGUAAAGGGAGCGUAGGCGGACAUUUAAGUCAGGGGUGAAAUCCCGGGGCUCAACCUCGGAAUUGCCUCUGAUACUGGGUGUCUUGAGUAUGAGAGAGGUGUGUGGAACUCCGAGUGUAGAGGUGAAAUUCGUAGAUAUUCGGAAGAACACCAGUGGCGAAGGCGACACACUGGCUCAUUACUGACGCUGAGGCUCGAAAGCGUGGGGAGCAAACAGGAUUAGAUACCCGUGUAGUCCCA
rnacentral:rRNA from 1 species